AGGGAUCAUUACCGAGUUAUACAACUCAUCAACCCUGUGAACAUACCUAAAACGUUGCUUCGGCGGGAACAGACGGCCCUGUAACAACGGGCCGCCCCCGCCAGAGGACCCCUAACUCUGUUUUUAUAAUGUUUUUCUGAGUAAACAAGCAAAUAAAUUAAAACUUUCAACAACGGAUCUCUUGGCUCUGGCAUCGAUGAAGAACGCAGCGAAAUGCGAUAAGUAAUGUGAAUUGCAGAAUUCAGUGAAUCAUCGAAUCUUUGAACGCACAUUGCGCCCGCCAGUAUUCUGGCGGGCAUGCCUGUUCGAGCGUCAUUACAACCCUCAGGCCCCCGGGCCUGGCGUUGGGGAUCGGCGGAAGCCCCCUGUGGGCACACGCCGUCCCUCAAAUACAGUGGCGGUCCCGCCGCAGCUUCCAUUGCGUAGUAGCUAACACCUCGCAACUGGAGAGCGGCGCGGCCAUGCCGUAAAACACCCAACUUCUGAAUGUUGACCUCGAAUCAGGUAGGAAUACCCGCUGAACUUAA
rnacentral:rRNA from 1 species